AUUGAACGCUGGCGGCAUGCUUUACACAUGCAAGUCGAACGGUAACAGGUUAAGCUGACGAGUGGCGAACGGGUGAGUAAUGCAUCGGAACGUGCCCGGUCGUGGGGGAUAACGCAGCGAAAGCUGCGCUAAUACCGCAUACGAUCUGAGGAUGAAAGCGGGGGACCGUAAGGCCUCGCGCGAUCGGAGCGGCCGAUGUCAGAUUAGGUAGUUGGUGGGGUAAAGGCUCACCAAGCCAACGAUCUGUAGCUGGUCUGAUAGGACGACCAGCCACACUGGGACUGAGACACGGCCCAGACUCCUACGGGAGUCAGCAGUGGGGAAUUUUGGACAAUGGGCGAAAGCCUGAUCCAGCAAUGUCGCGUGCAGGAAGAAGGCCUUCGGGUUGUAAACCGCUUUUGUACGGAGCGAAAAGGUCUCCUCUAAUACAGGGGGCUCAUGACGGUACCGUAAGAAUAAGCACCGGCUAACUACGUGCCAGCAGCCGCCGUAAAAC
rnacentral:rRNA from 1 species